ensembl:misc_RNA 7SK 7SK RNA
AGACAUGACAGUGAUGGAGUGGUAGCACCUGUCACUCAUUGAUCAUCAGGUCGAUUCAGCUGAUCUGGUUAUCUAGGUGAUACCCUUCCCCCAUCACCACUCUAUGUGUCCCUCCCCAAAGCCAAUCUUUCCUGACACAGGAGAACCAUUCUUUGGUCAGGAGUAGACAAGUAGCUAUGCUCCCCAGCUAGAACCUCCAAACAAGCUCUUAACAUCUGUUUGCAAGAGAACAGAGGUAGCCAAAUUUCCAAGACUCCAGAUGCAUCCAAAUGACGUGCUACAUGUAGAAAUCUGCCUUUCUUA